CUGAAUCAUUUAUUAGCCCCCCAGUAUAACUGAAGGACUGACCACCACCCAGAUUAUCCAUCAUUCACACCAAGUUUACAUUACCACAAAAGAGCUGUAGUAAGGUAAAUCUGCUGCACUUUUGUGAAGCAUCAACAUGCUUGCUGUAGUUGUUCUGAAGCUAAGUUAAAAAAAUCUAUCCAGGGGAAUAGAUUCAUUCAACAAGGCUGCUUCUGAAGGUUGUAACCUCCUGCUCCUGACUCAAGCAAGAAGAGAGCAGGCUCCGUUUUGGCUGCACACCCAAACUUGAACGUACUGUAUUUCCGGUGCACGCCGGUGAGCUUGCCUGCUCCCGCCUUCUGGUGGAAAUCUAC
rnacentral:lncRNA from 1 species